GGUUCACCGUAGCUCAGUUGGUUAGAGCACAUCACUCAUAAUGAUGGGGUCACAGGUUCGAAUCCCGUCGUAGCCACCA
rnacentral:tRNA from 1 species